rnacentral:lncRNA from 1 species
GACCUGCACAUGAGUGGGAAUCAAUGCACACUCAACACACGCUGCUUAUGUUAGUGUUGUGUCACAGGAUGUGGACUAUUAUGAACAAAUCCACUUUUAAAGAAUUAAAAAAAGAAAAAUAUGUAUUAGUGUUUGACAUCUACAAAUCCCAUAGAAAGGUCUACACUCAGUCUCAGCAUGGACAUGGAUAUCCAUCUACUGUCAUAAGAGUUAUUCCUGACAACACAGUGAAAAACAUCCUUUUGAUCAAGAAUCAAACCUUUUAAGUUGAUUAAAGACUUUUUAUUAGCCUUGUGUAAUCUGUUUUAUCUUGUCAUGACUUAAUAACUCAGUGUGACAAAGAGGAUGUGAAAAGAGGAUGGCAGUCUUCACACAACAAGCAACAACAUUGCUCUUUAAAACUUCACGGUGACCCCUUUAAAGAUCAGCAAGAUCAGGCAUGUGAAGAAUAAUGAGCUUUUAUUUUAUUUUUACCGCAAGAUGUGGUUAUAAAAACAGCUGAAUCGUUGUAUGCUGUAAACAAACAAAGAUUAGGUUUUACAAACAACAUCAAAAAACUUUCAAAGGAUGAAAAUAACUCAUUAAUAUUUUAAGAAACAGUGAUAAACUGCCUUUCAGCUAAAACAAAGGUGAGAAAAUGAUAACACUUUAAUAACUGUACGCCAAUUUUAGAUCUAAAGAAGCACGUUAGCUUAGACUGGAGAUGCUAACAGCUAGCUGUUUUCCUCUUUUAACCUCACACCCAUAACAACAACUCUUACAACUCUUGAAUACCUAAUGAAAGAAAUAAAAUAUGACGUGUUAGCUGGCAGCAUAAAAAAGGCGUGUACAAUAGUGUUUCACCACAUUUCCUGUCUUUGUGUUAAAGUGGGCUAGCACACAUACGCCUGAAGCUUCACAGCCUAUUUAGCAAAUACACAGACAUGAGAGCGGCGUCAAUGUCAGUUUACUCUUCAACUCUUGACAAUAGAGUAAAAAAAUAUCCUUUGAAUCAAGAUUCACACCAAUUAAAUGGAUAAAUGGCUCUUCAUGUUUUAUUUUUGUCAUGUUUCAUGUUUUGUCAAGACACUUGGUAGCUUGGUGCAAUGUACAGUACAUUUAUGGGGUGAUACAGGAGCUUGUGUGAGGAUGACAGUCCGCAGACCAGUACAGCACACUCAAACUGUUUUGUACAAAAACGAACGUACGCUUUAAUGAAUAACUGAGUGAAUUAAUUCACAGUUUAUGUUACACAAACAGAGUCUCAAAGUGUCGCCUCUUUAACAUUAAACUCAGAGGCGUUGAAUUUACAUUACCUAAUUGGGUGCAGUUUUAGCUUUUAAUGUGCAAGUUUGUUUCCUACGCUUUAAACAAAUAUGCAAAUAAACUUAGAAGCAGCAUUUUAAUAUUGUUGCCCUUAAGGCAUGCGUGCUGUGUUCAAUGACAUCGCGAGGUUCAAACAAAAACUGCAGCCUCAAUAUUGUUUGUGUGUUGUGUUCACUAUUGUUUCCCCACCAACAGUUCUCAGCCAAGUGGAACCAUCUCUUAUAGCAUUUGGUGGAGGUGGAAGACAAGCUCUUAAUCGGCUGUGUUAUUGAAUUAUUGAAUUAAAAGCUUAAGUACUCAGGGUGAGCAUGUCAAUUUUUCACAACUGAAUGGUACACUGCUCAUUCCAUUUUCAUCUGAAUAGAUCAUUUGUGUAUGUAAAAUGUAGAAGAAUGGAGGUAUUACACAGAUCAGUUUCAUUGUCUGUAAUUCCCUUUCACUGUGGCUGUAAUCAUUUUGAGAGACAAGUCAUAUUCAUCUAACACUGCAUGCUAGUCCUUAAUCUGCAUUCAGCUCCCCUCAACAACAUGGCACUUUUUUUUUGUCAAGCAGCUGCACAGUAGCACGGUGUUAAUUAAGAAAGGGUUUGCAUCCAAGCAGAUUUCUCAUUAUUAUUGCAAAAGUGGAAGUUUAACCUGUUUUCUGUCUCUGUGAUGUAAAACAAUGAUAUAGUGUAAAAAUUUGACAGAGUAAGUGUCGCAGCAAAUGGUUCAACCCUUUUCUACUUGACAUUCUGCUCACCUGUCUUCAUCCCCCGUGUUCUGAAACCCUGGGACUGAUACAGAUAAAAUGAUGUGAUGUUUCUGUCUGUAUUUCAAUGGGAUGAGUUGCUGUGACCCACGCAAUCUCCCUCUCAAAGAGUAUUUCAACUUAUGCAGAUGAGCUCAUCAGAGCUGCCUGCUGAGAUGAGACAUCUAGGUCUGGAAUUGUGUCAAUACCAGCACCAAAACAAAUGCAAAUCAAAAUCCAAAUUAAUGUGUUUUCCCCGAGGAGAAACUGAGUCGUACUUAUAGUCAGCUCUCAGUAGAUGACAGGAUUCUGUUAUCCAAAGCUCAUGAAAAACAAGGCGUUCUCAAACUGCUCACCGAGCUGGGGUACAAAAGUCAGCGUCUCCAGAUGGGGAAACUAAACUAAACUAAGCAAAAAGAAACAGGAAUUUUUUUUGUGUGAUUGUUUUACAGAUGAAAAACAGAAAGCAAUCCUACAUAUGCAUUAUCCCUAGGUUUAGAGAUCUACCUCUGUAAACGUACACCCAUGUUUACACUUAAUCUUUCUAUAUAGACAGUGUCAAGCAGAUAUAGAAGAUACUGCUUGGAUCUUGAUUUGAGUCUCCUACUCUGGUCACAGCAUCACUUGGGCUCUCAACUCGGCUUGAAUGGAAGAGAAGCAGCCAUGUUGAACAUAAAAUACUGAUAAUGUUUGGAAGGAAAUAAAGAAAUAGACGUAUUGCUGUAAUUAAGGCUGUUUUAAUGUCUCCGGACCAUGGCCUUAUGUCCCUGCACCUACCCUUUCUGCAUCUGAAUGAACAGUAAAUACUGCACACUGCAUAUAAAGAGGAGAUUUGCACAUACACUUCUGUAAAUCUCAUUAGGGCUGAAGAAGAUGAUGUACAUUUUCGCUCCUCUGUGGAAAAGCGAUGGAAUCCCUCGUGUUAAACACCAAAGUCUCAUAACCUUGAAAUCUCCUCAGUGAAGAUACAGUGUUUGUAUUUGCUGUA